rnacentral:rRNA from 1 species
UACGUAGGGGGCAAGCGUUGUCCGGAAUCAUUGGGCGUAAAGAGCGUGUAGGCGGCCCGGUAAGUCCGCCGUGAAAGUCCAGGGCUCAACCCUGGGAUGCCGGUGGAAACUGUCGGGCUAGAGUACGGAAGAGGUAGCUGGAAUUCCCGGUGUAGUGGUGAAAUGCGUAGAUACCGGGAGGAACACCCGCAGCGAAGGCGGCCGGCUGGACCACUCCUGACGCUGAGGCGCGAAGGCCCGGGGAGCGAACGGG